GUGGGGAAUAUUGGACAAUGGGCGCAAGCCUGAUCCAGCAAUGCCGCGUGGGUGAAGAAGGCCUUCGGGUUGUAAAGCCCUUUUGUACGGAAAGAAAUCCUGGUGGUUAAUACCCGCCGGGGAUGACGGUACCGUAAGAAUAAGCACCGGCUAACUUCGUGCCAGCAGCCGCGGUAAUACGAAGGGUGCAAGCGUUAAUCGGAAUUACUGGGCGUAAAGCGUGCGUAGGUGGUUUCUUAAGUCUGUCGUGAAAGCCCUGGGCUCAACCUGGGAAUGGCGAUGGAUACUGGGAGGCUAGAGUGCGGUAGAGGAUGGCGGAAUUCCCAGUGUAGCGGUGAAAUGCGUAGAGAUCGGGAGGAACAUCUGUGGCGAAGGCGGCCAUCUGGACCAGCACUGACACUGAGGCACGAAAGCGUGGGGAGCAAACAGGAUUAGAAACCCUAGUAGUCC
rnacentral:rRNA from 1 species